GUGGAUUAGGCAUGCAAGUCGAACGCGAAAGUUCCCUUCGGGGAGCGAGUAGAGUGGCGAAAGGGUGAGUAAUGCUUGGAUGACCUGCCCUCGAGACGGGGACAACAGUUCGAAAGGACUGCUAAUACCCGAUAGUCCGGUUUAGAUGCGUCUAGAUCGGUAAAUGGUGCUUCCGCUCGAGGAGGGGUUCAAGUCCUAUCAGCUUGUUGGUGAGGUAACGGCUCACCAAGGCGAUGACGGGUAGCCGGACUGAGAGGUUGGCCGGCCACAUGGGAACUGAGACACUGUCCUGACUCCUACGGGAGGCUGCAGUCGAGAGUCUUCUGCAAUGGGCGAAAGCCUGACAGAGCGACGCCGCGUGGAGGAUGAAGGCCCUCGGGUCGUAAACUCCUGUCACAUGUUAUGAAACGCACAGGUCUACCUGUGCGCUGACAAAAGCAUGAGAGGAAGUCACGGCUAACUUCGUG
rnacentral:rRNA from 1 species